AACUGAGUCAACGCAUUUUUCUGAUUCAAGAAGGGUAGGGCGCAAGGCGGCUGGCCCCCGCAAAGAGAGCUACACAAGUCGGCUACUUCCCCAGCUGAAGCGGUCGGCUAUCGAAAUCAGUUGAUGCCUUCAGAUGACAUUUAAGACUUCACUGUGUAUUUAGUUGGUUUGACGCUCAUUCUCCGUUGGUCGUCUAAAAAUCACAACCCGACAAAAUGUCAGAUCCUGUGGUGGCCGAUACUCGCCGGUUGAAUUCCAAGCCCCAGGACCUGACUGAUGCUUACGGUCCCCCCAGCAAUUUCCUGGAGAUAGACGUUUAUGAUCCACAAAUCGUUGGAGUCGGACGGGGCCGUUACACAACUUACGAAGUUCGCAUGAGGACGAACCUUCCCAUUUUCAAAUUAAAGGACUCCUGUGUGAGGAGAAGAUACAGCGACUUUGAGUGGUUAAAGAAUGAGCUGGAAAGAGACAGUAAGAUUGUAGUACCACCUCUGCCGGGCAAGGCCCUGAAGAGACAGUUGCCCUUUCGCAGUGAUGAGGGUCUUUUUGACGAGUCGUUCAUUGAGGAGCGAAGAUCGGGCCUGGAGCAGUUUAUCAACAGAAUUGCAGGUCACCCCUUGGCCCAGAACGAGCGCUGUCUUCACAUGUUUCUUCAAGAGGAAACCAUUGACCGUAACUACAUUCCUGGAAAAGUAUGAAUGAAACUUGGAUACUGUACGUUUGUACAGAAAUAUCUACGUCUGAAAAACAAAUCAGCCAAUUGUACCAUCAUGUAAACCUUGACACAACGGUACAGUCUGCUGCACCUGCCCCGUGUACAUUUAUUUCUACAUCACGUCAUAAAGCUGAUGUCAGACCUCAUAAGUGUCAACGAUGUAGAGAAAACACAGCUUUCUGCUCCUGGAACGAAACUUAAGAGAUCCAAUGUAUAAAUUGUUUGAUGUUGUAUCUUCAUUCAGUCAUUCCACUUACUGUAUGUACACUAUUUUUGAUCUAAUAAUCAGUGAGGAAGACAUGCCCCAUAUAUCUUUUUAGCCAUUUUUUUGUUUGUUUGUUUUUGUUUACAAUGAUUAUUAUGUUUUUGGAAUGUCUUCUUUUUUUCAUUCGAUUACUUUAAAAAGAAAAUUUCCUGCUCCUGUUUUCUUUUGCAAGCUGAGAUGUGAUUUUGAUGAUAACCUCCCAAAGUCGAGCAACAUGUAGCAUCAUAAAAAUGAUGGCGACUCCAGUCACUCCAGUCGCUGUUUUCUCCCCUGAGUUUGAUAUUUCUGGACAUGCUCUUACACAGGAUUGUUUCACGAUUACUUGUUGAGUUGGGCAAAUAACCAUAUCUAAGCACUGUGAUAAGAGGUUUGUUAUAUGAACAGACAUUCAUUGUUUAAAGGCAGUAACAGCAUCUGGUUUAUUGAGCUAUAAAACGAGGCUUGAUUUUUAUUUUUUUUUUCUUUCUUUUCAGCUGUAUUCUUCUUUCUCUCAGCAUUAUCGUGAAGUGUAUUAAUAUGUUGCCAUCAUUGCAGGAACUUCAUUGUUAAUUCUGUCCACUAAUUAAAUUUCCUGCUGCCUGCUG